AAGUGGAAGCAUGAAAUGAGCGAAAGGAAAAGAAGAAGAAGAGAGAAUUUGGCUCUUUUCGUUGGUCAUUUUUUCCUCUUUGUUUUCUUGUUUCAUUUCAUUCACGCGCUCCUUUCAGUCACUUGUAAUGAAAUGAACAAGAAGAAC
rnacentral:ribozyme from 1 species